rnacentral:rRNA from 1 species
AGUGGCGCACGGGUGCGUAACGCGUGAGCAACCUACCCAUAUCAGGGGGAUAGCCUCUCGAAAGAGAGAUUAACACCGCAUAACAUCAUUUACCGGCAUCGGAUUAUGAUCAAAUAUUUAUAGGAUAUGGAUGGGCUCGCGUGACAUUAGCUAGUUGGAGGGGUAACGGCCCACCAAGGCUACGAUGUCUAGGGGCUCUGAGAGGAGAAUCCCCCACACUGGUACUGAGACACGGACCAGACUCCUACGGGAGGCAGCAGUAAGGAAUAUUGGUCAAUGGAGGGAACUCUGAACCAGCCAUGCCGCGUGCAGGAUGACUGCCCUAUGGGUUGUAAACUGCUUUUGUCAGGGAAUAAACCUUUCCACGUGUGGGAAGCUGAAUGUACCUGAAGAAUAAGGAUCGGCUAACUCCGUGCCAGCAGCCGCGGUAAUACGGAGGAUCCAAGCGUU